rnacentral:rRNA from 1 species
UCCGGUGGCAACAGCGAAGAGGAUCCACCCGUUCCCAUGCCGAACACGGAAGUUAAGCUCUUCAGCGUUGAUGAUAGCCGGGGGUUCUCCCCCCGUGAAAGUAGAUCGCCGCCGGGC